AGGUAAGCUACUAAGAGCGAAUGGUGGAUGCCUUGACUGGUAAAGGCGAUGAAGGACGUACUAGACUGCGAUAAGCUACGGGGAGCUGUCAAGAAGCUUUGAUCCGUAGAUUUCCGAAUGGGGCAACCCAAUGUAUAGAGAUAUACAUUACCUAUAUAGGAGCGAACGAGGGGAAUUGAAACAUCUUAGUACCCUCAGGAAAAGAAAUCAAUAGAGAUUGCGUCAGUAGCGGCGAGCGAAAGCGCAAGAGGGCAAACCCAGUGCUUGCACUGGGGGUUGUAGGACUGCAAUGUGCAAGAGGUAAGUUUAGCAGAACAUUCUGGAAAGUAUAACCAUAGAGGGUGAUAGUCCCGUAUGCGAAAAACAAACCUUAGCUAGCAGUAUCCUGAGUAGGGCGGGACACGAGGAAUCCUGUCUGAAUCUGGGUCGACCACGAUCCAACCCUAAAUACUAAUACCAGAUCGAUAGUGCACAAGUACCGUGAGGGAAAGGUGAAAAGAACUGAGGUGAUCAGAGUGAAAUAGAACCUGAAACCAUUUGCUUACAAUCAUUCAGAGCCCUAUGUAGCAAUACAGGGUGAUGGACUGCCUUUUGCAUAAUGAGCCUGCGAGUUGUGGUGUCUGGCAAGGUUAAGCAAACGCGAAGCCGUAGCGAAAGCGAGUCUGAAUAGGGCGCUUAGUCAGAUGCUGCAGACCCGAAACGAAGUGAUCUAUCCAUGAGCAAGUUGAAGCUAGUGUAAGAACUAGUGGAGGACUGAACCCAUAGGCGUUGAAAAGCCCCGGGAUGACUUGUGGAUAGGGGUGAAAGGCCAAUCAAACUUCGUGAUAGCUGGUUCUCUCCGAAAUAUAUUUAGGUAUAGCGUUGUGUCGUAAUAUAAGGGGGUAGAGCACUGAAUGGGCUAGGGCAUACACCAAUGUACCAAACCCUAUCAAACUCCGAAUACCUUAUAUGUAAUCACAGCAGUCAGGCGGCGAGUGAUAAAAUCCGUCGUCAAGAGGGAAACAACCCAGACUACCAGCUAAGGUCCCUAAAUCUUACUUAAGUGGAAAACGAUGUGAAGUUACUUAAACAACCAGGAGGUUGGCUUAGAAGCAGCCAUCCUUUAAAGAAAGCGUAAUAGCUCACUGGUCUAGUGAUUUUGCGCGGAAAAUAUAACGGGGCUAAAGUAAGUACCGAAGCUGUAGACUUAGUUUACUAAGUGGUAGGAGAGCGUUCUAUUUGCGUCGAAGGUAUACCGGUAAGGAGUGCUGGAGCGAAUAGAAGUGAGCAUGCAGGCAUGAGUAGCGAUAAUUAAUGUGAGAAUCAUUAACGCCGUAAACCCAAGGUUUCCUACGCGAUGCUCGUCAUCGUAGGGUUAGUCGGGUCCUAAGUCGAGUCCGAAAGGGGUAGACGAUGGCAAAUUGGUUAAUAUUCCAAUACCAACAUUAGUGUGCGAUG
rnacentral:rRNA from 1 species